rnacentral:rRNA from 1 species
UACGUAGGGUGCAAGCGUUGUCCGGAAUUAUUGGGCGUAAAGAGCUUGUAGGCGGUUUGUCGCGUCUGCUGUGAAAUUUCGGGGCUCAACCCCGAACUUGCAGUGGGUACGGGCAGACUAGAGUGUGGUAGGGGGAGACUGGAAUUCCUGGUGUAGCGGUGAAAUGCGCAGAUAUCAGGAGGAACACCGGUGGCGAAGGCGGGUCUCUGGGCAGUAACUGACGCUGAGGAGCGAAAGCGUGGGGAGCGAACAGG